GGCCGGAGGGCUACAUUAGUAGCAUGGCUUAGCAUGGAUUUGCGUGGUGGUUUUGAGACGCUGGCUGUCGAGCUUUCGCUGUUUCCUGUCAUCAGAGUCGGGCCGUAUUCUGGCUGAAGGCUGGGAGCCGGGCGUAAUAAUUCACGCGCUGCAUUUAAUUUCUGAGUGAUUGAGCUGCAUUUUUCUGCGGCUGUCUCCCCUGUUGCCUGAAAAGCUGUGGCUACAUUGACGGGCGGCUCUACUUCCUGAAGCGGGCUACUGAUGUUCUGUCACCAGUUCAUCGCGGCAAGCUCUCUGCUCAUCGGCAGCUGUUUUGUUGUUGUAUGAUGUUUUUAAAAAAAAAAAUAAAAUAAAAUAACAACGAUCUUGGUGUGCGUAUGCCUCUUGCCCAGCACGCCUGUUAUUGAGAGUAUUAUUAUUAUUAUUAUUAGGGUUGUUGCUGUUUUUUUUAUAUUAGAAUUGUUAGUAUUAGAAUUGUUAGUAUUAGAAUUAUUAGUGUUAGUAUAGAUCUUGGGAUUCUUGAUUAGUUAGUUUUGUUUAUUUACUUAUUUGUUGUGAUUGCAUAUUUAAAUUAUUCAGUUAUCUUUUUUUUGUUUGGGUUUGUAAAUUUUGUUUUCCUUUUUUUUGGUUUUAUUGGGUUGACUGGGCGAGGGAGUAAGGGGUGCAUGUUGGCGUAAUUGGCCUUGGUGGUGACCUCGUGGGCCCAGCCUAGUGUGGUGGUGUGGCAGUUUAUUUGAGAUCUAUGUAGGUGUGCCUCUUUUUUCCGUGACUAACAGUUUGCCUCUUCUCCUUGGACAGGAGCUGUUGGGCCAGGUGGCUGGUGGCUGACUGAUUUCCCCCGGAGGUGGUGGUCCCUUCACUCCCUGUACAAUAGUGCACUUGGGUGUUCGUCAGUGAUUUUGUUUUGUUCACGUGUGGUGCAUUAAGACCCUUCCCUUCUCCCCUCCAGUUCGUCAUCGCUGCCUGGUAAGCCCUCAGCCCUGUGCCUGGUGACUGUUUCGGUGGCACACUUAAUUAAGUCAGGGGGGGCCCUUGAGGAUUAGAUUAAUACUGUGCCACUUACUACCGUUAUGUCUUGGCAUCGCCAACAAGGUCGGUUUUAGAAAGAGUGUACAUUUUUAAAUAUUGUUAAUAAAUUUCGUUUUUCUAUACUUAAAGUGGAAUCGCGUCAGUCUCCGGUGCCUUUUGUACCUGUGUGACCUUUCUUGUGGUCUGUAUUAGAG
ensembl:lncRNA